GCCCAUUGGUCCCUGAGGCUCUUCUCCUCCCCCUGCCUGCCCUACAUUUAAACCUGAACCCUCCAUUGUUCCUGGUCUUUGCUCCCUGGUUCCCGCGGGGUGGUGGUGAGUAAAGCCCCUCAGGACAGGUGUACCCAUCACCCCUCUCAUCUCUGCAGCUGCUGUGGGUGAUCCGAGGCCGAGUGAGUCUGUAAAUGGAGUGUCUGCUGCUGACCUGAGCGCUGUCCAGCUGGAGAUGUCUUUUGGAAGGUAGCAUCACCCUGCCAUUCAGACCACAGCACUAUGCUGUGUGAUUUCAGAGAACUUUCUUCAAACACAAGAAAAUACGUCAAUUUUCAAUCUUAACAUUUGCUUGGAAAUCCAUUUUUCUGAGCAUUCUGAAGCAGUUUGAGACAUCAGGGUCAUUUGAAGAGAACACAAGCUACAUACCAGAACAAUAUAAGCUACAGCAAUAUUUUGGAAGAAAGCAUCUUUCAGGUCUCCAGAUAUUUAUGCAUUGCUUGAAAAUGAGUAUGGAAGUUGUCCAAUAACUUUACCAGUAAGUAUUUUGUUAGUUGAUUAUACUAAGAUAAAACCAAUUAGGAAGAUGUAUUUUGUAAAUAUUUAUGACAUCCAGAGACCACAUUAUGCCAAAACUGCAUAGAAACAUAAAUUAUAUAGUCAUCAUCUUAUAUGAGAAAAAACAUUACCCAUUACUUUUGUGAAAACCAGGAGAGAAGAAUUAAUUCAAUAAAAUUAUGAUGAAAUUGCA
ensembl:lncRNA